CCGCGGUGCCCCUCCGGCGUUACGGUGCCGUGAGCUGCUCCCGCGCCUGCCGUGCGCACCCGCUACGCGUUCGUUCGCCUGCUCAUAACUCGUCGCUGAGGGCGUCGCCGUGCCCUCGUCGACCCUUUACGGCGUUACUGUGUGUGACUCGCGCCCUGUGUGGGGGCUGACCUGCUGGAGAAGUGUCCUCAGGGGCAGCUCUGGAGGGAGUGUUUAAUUGUGCAUGUGACCUGCAUGGCUUCCAGGGAUCCAUCACUGGGACAGAGUGCCUCUCCUGCAGCCUUGCCAAUCGCCGUACGCCUCUUGGGCAGCUCCACGUCCUCAGCUGCGCCUGCACGGCCGCCUCCACCUCUGUCCACAGAAGAGCUCCACCUGCUCGAGCCCAAUGGCCAGGCGCUCUGCGAGCUGCAGCCCCUCGGGGCGUCCAGUGCGCACAUGAUGAUUGUUGCCAGCCAGUCAGAAAAUGGCCAGGUGCUUCACGUCAUUCCUUCUGCCCAGCCAGGAAUGGCCCAGGUGAUAAUUCCUCAGGGUCACCUUCUGGAUGUCGCUGGCACUCAGGAUGCUUCAGAAGAGAAGUGUGGUGAUGGAAACUUGCAGACUGUGGCAGUGGCUGCUAUAGCAGACAGUGCAAGCAGUUACAUUCUCCAUCCACAAGCAUCUCUCACCAUAUCAAAAAAAUCAGCAACCAGAAUAUUAGAAGACUCCUUUCCCAUCCCUCUCCAGCCCUUGCCAACAAAUGCACCUGCAUGGGCACGCUGUCUCUGGAACUGUGAGAAAAUUGGGGACUCAUACCGCGGCUAUUGUGUGAGCGAGACAGAAUUAGAGAGUGUUCUAACGCUACACAAGCAGCAAACACAAAGUGUGUGGGGGACGCGCCAGUCUCCAAGCCCGGCCAAACCCGCCACACGGUUGAUGUGGAAAUCUCAGUAUGUCCCAUAUGAUGGGAUCCCCUUUGUCAAUGCAGGAAGCAGAGCCAUUGUAAUGGAAUGCCAGUAUGGGCCAAGGAGAAAAGGGUUCCAGUCUAAAAAAGCUGGUGAGCAGGAAAGCACUUCUGGCUAUUUGUACAAAGCCACUUGUCCAGCAAGGAUCUAUAUUAAAAAAGUUCAGAAGUUUCCAGAGUACAGAGUUCCUACUGACCCUAAAAUUGACAAGAAAAUCAUAAGAAUGGAGCAGGAAAAAGCAUUCAACAUGUUGAAAAAGAACUUGAUAGAGGCUGGUGGUAUUGUCAGGUGGUAUGUGCAGUUACCCACUCAGCAAGCCCACCAAUAUCAUGAAAUGGAAACUUCCUGCCUCCCUUCUUCACCCUCCCAUUUUUCUGCUGCUUUUCCUGAGGAGGAGGAGGACAUUGUUAGAGAUGAGAACUGUACUCUGCCUUCCCGCCUUCAUCCUCAAGUGGCAGACAAGAUCCGAGAACUGGUGUCUCAAGGAAUAGAGCAAGUCUAUGCAGUGAGGAAGCAACUGAGAAAGUAUGUGGAAAGAGAAUUAUUCAAACCUGAUGAGGUGCCAGAGAGACAUAACCUAUCGUUCUUUCCCACUGUGAAUGACAUCAAGAACCACAUUCAUGAAGUGCAGAAGUCCCUGAGAAAUGGUGAUGUGGUAUAUAAUUCAGAAAGCAUUCCAGCAACGCUACAGUGGACCACAGAUGGUGGGAAUGUUCUCACAGAAACAGUGACUGUUACGUUUGCCUCGCCACCUUCCAAUGGAAGCUCACCAGGGGAUUCGGUCAUCACCAAAGCAGAAUCCAACCAGAGCGUGGAGACCCUGCUAUCAGAAAAAGCUCAGCUGUUGUCUUCUUUCUCUUCACUUCAGUCCAAGAUAUUUGCACAAUUUCAGGGAUUACAGAUGCAAUCAAACUUUACCUCCACAAAUGGAUCAACAGCCCUGAUAGCUGUAAAUAACCAUUCCCAUUCCAAUUCUGCAAAUCUCUUGGAUUCCCUAGAGAGUGCAGUAACCAACCAUCCUCCAGUGGUUGGUCAGGGGCACAGUCUGCAGAAAGAUUCUGGCCUAGCACAGCACAGUGCUGCUGCCUCUGCUUUUGGGACUUCUCCUGCCACUGAUCAGAAUCUGGUCACCAUGGGCCAGCUAGUAGCACUUGACAGGGAAGGGGACUCCAGAAGCCUAGAAGGAGGAAUCCAGCAAGUUCUCUUGGGAGAUGUACAGACUAUUCCAGUACAGAUUGUGGAAAGCCAGCCUGCACUUGAUGAAGAUAAUACAGAGGCUGGUAUCUGUAUGAGCCAAGUUAAACAAGAGCCAAGAGAAAAAGCACUGUCUGUGGAGCCAGAUAAAAUCAGAGACCAGAGAUCCUCCUCUGUUUAAAUCUGUGAAGGCUGUAAGGAUUUUUCAAAUCAGAGGACUCUAAAUGCCUUGGGAAGAAAGGCAGGUACUCUUAAAAUAAUGCCAUUAUUUUUAAAUGGUACUGUGACAUUCAGACUGAGCGUAUUUUACAAUAGUUCUGACAGACAACUAUUUUGAUUUACAACUGAUGUGACUCACUGCCAAUUCCAAAUCUAUUCACUUACCAGGUGAAACAACACUUCUCUCUUCUAUUUUAUGUUUUGAAUAAUUUGAAUGCUAUCCAAAUGGUGCAUUUUGGUCGGCAUUUCUGAAGGUCUUCCACUGUUAGUUUUGAAUGUGGAUUAAAAUGCUUGAUUUGCUUUUUUCCUUGAGACCAUGAACUGUUACAGCGCUACGCAGUCCACAGAAUCUGCCAGCUCCCAGACUCUGGAAUCCAACAACAAAGUUCAUGAACACAAUAGUGUUGUGACAAAACAAAGGUCUAAUAGGCUACAUUUCUACGUGAUGAAGGACAUGGAUGCUUAAGAAAAUGCAGCUUUGACCUGAUCAUGUUAGUGGUGUGAGGAUCAAGGAGAGAAGAAAGUAAUAGCAUCUUCCAGGACUGAACUGAUCUGAAGUACUUAAAAGAGUUACCAGGAAGUUUCAUAAAACUGAGUAUGGUUGAGUAGUACCUUUUGGCAGCACUUAAGCCGAAGUCAUAAUAAGUGACAGAAAUUGAAUUGCAUGAUCUGUGAUAGAUAAGUUUCUUUAACAACAGCAACAAAAAAAAGGAAUCUAUUUAAAGCAGUAAGUGAAAUGAAACUGAUGUCAACAUAGGUAUCAAGUUAAACAGUGGCAUUGGUUUUUCAGACGUUGAAUUUUUAAAGUAGCAUCUAAAAUAUUUUGUGUACAGCAGUACCAGCAGUUCCUUUUGAAUUGUUUAAGAAACUGAUCAUAGAAUUAGAUAUUUUUCUGCAUGCUGUACAAGACUGCAGGCAGAAGACUUUCUCUUUUCCACUCUAAAAAGCAAUAAAAAAAAGAAGUUGACUUACUGAGAGAAAAUGUUAGGAAUAUUGUGUGUAUAUAUAUGAACAUAAAGAUUAACGUUUUGAAAUUAUUACAUUUAUUAGUAUGCAUUCAAGGUAUUCAUAAACCUCAUUUGAAUAGUGGCCAUUUAAAACUGAUUUUUAACUUUCUUUUCUGUGUUAAAAGCUAAAACUUUGGAAAGUCGCAGGUUGAAAUUGGAUUCCUAAUACCUCUGUAAGCAGCAUCUGUUAGAUAGUUAUGCUGUAAUCUUAACAUAAACAUGUACUGACUUCUGUGAGGUUGAUUAAGUAUUGCUGUUAAUACUGUUCAUGUUAAGGUUAAUGUUUAUGGAUUAGCUUAAAUCUGAACUUGCCAACAGAUGAUAAAUACUAAGAGCCAGUGUUUCAUCAUGCAAGUGCAUAGAGAAUCUUCAGAUGUUUGGAGUCUAUGAUACUUGUUUCUACACGGACUUGUUUUGUGGUAUUCCUUACUCAUUUCUGGGUAGGUAAAUCCUGUGAGAUUCACCCUUUUGGUGGUGGUGGUUUUUUUUUUUCCUGUUAAUUGUGAAAGUAUGUGCAGAAUGGAUGUUCUCUGCUGCACUCAGCGUUCUGGAGGCAGUAGUCACAUUUUCAAAUUCAGUUGUUAUAUACCAGGAUGGCUACCUUAUUCCACACUACUCAGUGAUUCCACCACCAUCUGUUUUUCUUAAAUUAAUACAUUCCAAAGUAUAUUGCCUUUCUCUACUUUAAGAAUUUUUUUCCCUUGUUAUAUUUAUUUUCCUCUUUAAGAAUGCUUUCUCAUUUUUGAAAGUGCUUAUUCUCAAAAUAAGUUACAGCUAACCAGCAAUAGGUUAUCUCAGUUUUGGUUGGUUUAUUUGUUUCUUUUCGAAGGAAUCAAUGCGCUUAUGGCCGGUGUAAAAACUUGAGGAAAGAAGUUUUAUUUCUAAUGGUUCUUGCUUUAGUUCUCUCAUCAGCAGAUUUAUUUUUUAAUUAGCAUAGUUCUUCCUACCAGUAGCUACAAGCUAAUCCUGUGCUGAAUGUUUCAGAAGGUACUUCUAUUUUUUGUUUAGUGUUCAUAGCUUGUGGAAAUCUUGUAAUUUGUUUUGAAUUAUGGGCCAUGAAAUUAUUUCUAUAGUUGAGCCUGAUUUGCAUGAUAACUUGAAAACAACAGAAGAAAAGGUUGGGAGAAAUUUGAAGAUGAUGUAGACUGUGCAAAAGCUGGGGAUGAAGAGGCAAUUCUGUUCCUAGGAAAACUUUGUUUGAAAUGCUUUGGUCAAUAGUUUCCUUCACUUUCACAGAAUUCCACUUCAUCUUCCAAAUGCGCAUUCCAGUUUAGUACUGAGUUGUCUUUUAAGUUUGUUUCCUGUUUGAAAGGUAUGUUUACUCUUGCUUUGUGCGUGUUGCUGAUGGAGAACACGGGCCAAUCACACAUUCAAGCAUCUGUAUUCAGAUAAACAACUUAGUUCACUAAUGUCCACUUAAAAUUUACAGGAAAAAAAUUACAGGUAAACAAAAGCACUUUCAAUGCACUUCAAUUUGUUUGAAUAGAAUACUCAAGGUUGUUUUUUGUUUGUUUUUCUGAAAAAGCUGUGUAGCUUGGUGCACAGUAGUUGGUUGUGGCGUUAAAUUGAAUUUGCAAAUGUUUUUCUGAUGUUUACUUUGUUUUCUUGUGAUUGUUAUGUUCAAGUGUUCGUUUUGCAAACAUAGAAAUCCUGAGCUUCCAUGGCACUGUAAAUGAGCAAAUUCUUUGUUGCUGUAUUGGUGGUUGGUUGGCUUUACAAGAAGGGCUGUGCUUAUGUAUAUGCAUGCAAAAAAGUCUUUUGCAAAAGCAUAGAAAAGACACAAAAAAGGCACAUAUCUAUAGCCCUUACCCAGAAUGGCAUCCUCUUGGAUGGAAACCAAUAGUGUUAAUGAGUGCACAGGUUUGUUUCUUUUUGCACUGUUCAAACCCCAAAUUUGCUUAUGUGGUAUGAAGAUUGUUGCAGCUUAUACAAAAUUUAGAGCCACAAAUGUCUGUAUAUGUAUGUAUAUAUAUAUAUAUUUAUAUAGUAAUUUAAUGUAUAGUACUUCUAUUGAAAUGUAAACUACUUUCUCUUUAAACAAGUGGUCUAUGUUGUGAUUGUGGGUAUUCAUGGGGAGAAAUACAAGAGUUACAAGGGCAGUGGUUCACUGUGUAGUAAUGAGAACAAGCAGGACAAGUCCAGGGAGACUUGAUAGAAUGAAGAAAGUCCUGCAGGAGUGAAAGGAGUGGUCCCUGUGGGGAGGGCUAAGCUGGAGGGAGCUCCUGGCCCUGGAAAGGGUUUGCAAGCCCAUCACAAAGGUUCAAUGCAGCUCCAGUUUUUGGGGCAGUAGGGUGAGGGAGGGCUGAGUUCAUGGGGAAGAUAUACACGUAUGAAAGAAAAAGCCUGUCUUGUCAUCAUGAACCAACAGAGCUGCUUAAGUAUCGGUGAGUACCAAAGGCAAUUAAAUAUCUUCUCCUAGUCUGAUGAAGAAACACAUCUUAGGGUUUAAACCCAGGAGAUGCCUCCUCUUCUUCACAUGUUACCAGGGAAAAUGCCUUUUCUUCCCAACUGAAUUAACCUGAUGCUCCCCUCAUCCCUCUGACUGCUGCCCUGUCUACCUCAAAUACACUCCAACCAAACCUCUCCUCACAUUUAUUAGGGCUCCCAUCCAAGUCCUCUGCCCUGUUUCAUCAUUAUGUUGUUGAAAGUAAUUAAUGACUUCACAAGUAAAUACUGAUGAGGUUUGCUUCUGUCAGUUUUUUAUUGUCUCCCUUGGAUUCUAAGUUCAUGUAUUCCUUUAUUUUUUUUUAUCCUUGCUUUGUUGGUGACUUAUCAUCCAUUUUGGUGUGGAUAGUAGCUGGCUGUUCAAUUGAGUUUGCUGUUGGCAAUAUGCUCCCUUACACCUGUUCAAACAGAUGUGUUCUUAGAUUAGGUAGAAGGAAUCUGGGAUAGGAAGUGCAAUAUAGCUGAAGGUGAGGCUUUGAAAAGGCACUAUUCUUCAUGGAACACUGAGAAGGUCUACCUUUCCCAGCCAAGCAAGCUUUCUUAUGAGUAAACAUGUGAACCUGUUCCAUCCAUGAUAAUAAUAUCUAUACAACCCAUUAGUGGAUGAAAAAGGCACAUAUAAAACACACUGUGUUGUUUUUUUAGGUCAGAAGCUAUCCAGCAGGUCUAUCCAACAAGCAUCAACUAAGGUAUGAUUUGUGAGAAGAAAGGGAAGGCAAAAAUUGUAUCACAUGACAGGAGUGUGGGUGGGUUGGUUUUCUAGAGCUAAAUGUUGCAUCUUACCAUCAUUCCAUUUGUAACCCAUCUAACAAAUUACAUGUUUAUUUUUUAAAGUGAUUUGAUGUGUUUUCUGAGGAGUCUUCAAAGGAAUUAGAAUAACAGUAGUAUUUUAUUAUAGGAGGUAUUAGUAGGUGUUUGCCAUAUAGGGUCACAUCCACAUUCUAGUACAGAAAGAGGUUAAAAAUCCUUGAAAGCUUUCUGACAUCAAGUACUAAGUGUUCCUAUCCUAAGGGGUCUUCCCUGUCUAGAAAAUUAAGUGCAUUGGGUGCUGCAGCAGUAAAACCUAAUCAGUGGUCCACUACUCUCUACCAGAUAGAGAAAACCUUGCAAAGGGAAUGUAUGUGACAACUUGAGAAAACUUUUUUCCAUACUGAGGUUUUAAUUGAUAAAUGCACAUGGAUUUAUAUACAUUAAAGAAACUAAAAACAUUGAGAAGCUUGUGUGUAGUUGACUAAUACAGUUUUAGUUAUGCUUGUCUAUAGUUAAAUGAUGCAUGUAUUUUAGGGAGCAUAUAGUCAGGCCCUUUAUGUAGAUAACUGAAAUUCAUAUUUUUACUACUAUCGUUCUUAGCAAUCUGCAGUGUGGUUCACUUAGUAAUGUGCUGGCUUUUCUUAAUGACUCUCUGUUCCAUCAAGAACGUGUUUGCUCAAAACAAAUUAGGUUUCUUGCUCUUCCUUCUCAUUUUUCUAGUAGAGAUUGUUAAGGAUGAAAAUCUUUUUGUAGUAUGGUUAUUUGUAAGUAUUGAGUUUUGUGUCCUCAGUGUGAAGGAAAUGGAAAGCAAACAUUUGCAUAUUAUUGGAUCUGCCAUUUGGUUAUUUUUAUAAUACACUCAGUUUUCUGCAGCAUCACAGUGCCGAUAGAGCAUGAGUAACAUUCAAUUGUUAUCAAUAUUUCACGUCUGUUCUUAGUUUAAAUUUUGUAUUCAGUGGUUCCAGCAAAGAUCUGGGACUUUGCUUCUACUCUUUGUAGAAUAGUCUGCCUCUACAUAUUAUUUAAAAUGUAAUCAGGACAGUCAAGUGGCGGAAGGAGAGACGGAAACAGAGCUCUGUGUGUCAGGGGAAAUCAGUGGGAGAGAGAGAAGUGCAGCCCCAUGUACAGUCAGUGUGUUUAGAGUAUGCACAAAAAAAAGCACAGCAGUUGUAGAGCCAAACACACAGUGGAGAGGGGAUGGAAAUGAAUGACAUCAGAAUCCUUACCUUUACCUCCUUCCCCAUCACAAGAGAGUACCUCCUUUACAUUUGCGUUAUCUGACCUGUCACCUAACAGCACAUCAGUGACAACAUCUGUGAACUAUAGUUUGUUUAUGAAUGACUGAGUCACAUCAAGUCUAGAGAUGGUUAAAUUUUAAAACAAAUUUUCUUUGCACUUAGAAUUUAUAUUAAAUUAUGUUAUUAUAUUAGUGAAACCAGUGAUAUCACAAAUGGUCAGGUCUCAAGAAAAAGAGAAAGAAGAGAAAGCCUUUAACUGAAUUUGGUCAUUGAAAUUUGUGGCCUAACUGAGCUAGGUACUAACUCCGAGGCGUAUCCUGCAGAACUUCUUGAGCAGAAUAAAUCUUUUUUUUUUUUCCACAACUAUCAAGAAUGUCAGCUGCAUUUGUGUUCUCAUUGACUGUGGAGCUCCUCAUUUUUAUCUCCUUGUGGAAUUCUGUUUUCCACCAUGAGGGGAAAUGGAAGUAAACUUGUAUGAAAACAUGAUGGACAGUGUCCAUGCUGCAUGCUGAGUGAACUGACAGCAUGCAGGACAGCCACACUCAAACAUGCUGUAUUUAAGCUGUGUUAGGAAUGGGAGCUGACAGAAAGAAUAAGUAAUCAAAGAGUGUAAUGUUAAAAGCAAGCAUCCUUGCUCCUCACAGUGUACCCUUUUUUAUAAACAACAUGAGGAAAAAUACUGGUCAGAUCUUGAACUUCUUCAUCACCAGCCCUCUCUCCACAAGAAGAAGAAAAUACCUACCCUUAAAGUUUAACAGUGGGCUUGCUAAUUGGUCAGAAAUCUUGCCUACUUUCUAUUGUAGAUCUGAGUGUCCAUUUUUUAUUUCCUGAAGAAUUAUUGUAAAAAUCAGUUCUACUUUACUGAGGUGCUGUUCUUUCAGAGAUAAAUGUAACCAUUUCUUAGAUAUUUCUUUUAAAGCUAAAAUUAAGUGAGAGAGUGAAAAAUUAGAAAUUAAUUAUGUAUUUCUUACAAAUGACACUCCAGUUUUCUGAAGAGUGCAGGUGCUUCCUCCUUGUCUCCUACUUUUGUCUCUUAGUUCACUAGUUGUCGGAUGUUUUCUUAGGAUUGCUUAACUUUGAGAGUACUCCAGUUAAAACCAGCAAGAAGCCAGAUUGAAAGCAGAAGAGGAAGUAAAGUUUGUACAAAGCUGCUUGCAGGAGAUAGAAGGCUAUCAAAGAUGCAGCUCAGGAUUGCAGUUUCUUCUGGCUGAAGUGAUUCACUUUGAAUGGUAAACAUUUUUAUAGUAAGCAAUUGUUUAUAGCUGAUCUUACUGCUAUUUAUGCUGUGAGCUCGCAUGUAGUAAAAGCUAGAACAGUAACCACAUAUAUUUGCUUUAUCUUCGGUGUGAUAGUUAUUUUCUGAUUGCAAGCUGGUAUAACAUCUGUCUUUCUUAAUUGUUGACAAAGCUGCUACUGCAUUUGAGUUUUUGUAUGUGGAAGGAGAAGGUGGGAACUGCUUGACUUCCUACUGAGAAGAGAUAAUCUGAGGAAUGAGGGCUCUACAAGUUUUAAAAGUGCAUGGUGAGGGGGAAGGUAUUGCAUUAAUUGACAUUUAUUUCUCACUAUCCAAAUCUAUUUUAACUGGCAAUAAAUUAAAUUGAUUUUCCCCAAGUUGAGUCUGUUUUGCUUACGACUUUAAAUGGUAAGUGAUCUCCCUAUCUUUGAAUCGCUGGGCUUUUUCAGCCUGUUUUCAUGCCUGUCCUGUUGAGGGAGGGGGGAGGUGGAAGAGUGGCUAAGUGGACAAUGCUACCUAUCAUAGCUUCUCCAUCGUCUGAGGUAUGAACCUCACAGUAUUCCUUAAUCUAGGAAAUAAUGGACUAUGAGUGAUGUCUAAACUGUCCAGAUGGAUGGGACUAAUGAAAGUGUUUCUUCUUGGCAACUGCUUCUCUGGAGUAAAUUCUUACCUGGUUAACAGGGCCUUCUGGGUAAUCCCACAAGUACUUACUGAAAACUUGUAUUUGAUCUCAAGUCAUAAUGGCAAAUAGUAAUCUCUUUGAUUGUUGCAAGCAAAUAUUACUUUGAGUCCUUUAAGCAAGGCACAAAAUUGAUCAUAUUUUACUUUUUAAAAAAUUGUUCUAUAUGUAGAAAGGAGUGCAUGGUGUUUAAACUGGGGCUUGUAGUUCUAAAUGUUCUAAAGGUUCUGGCUGGACCUUCCAAUUUCUGCUUGUUCACCAUUUUACUGUAGUAGAUCUCAGUUGUGGUAUCAACUAAGGAACUGGUCUAGCCUAUUACAUUUCUGCUGGAGAAUAUAAAUGAUAUUUGUGUUUUACAGAUUUAAAUGUAGGGGAGGCAUUCUGGGAAAAUUACACUGCUGCAGUACAUUCUCCUUCAUCUAUUCUGGUAGUGUUGCUCUUGCUGAUGAUGAGGAUGGCAGCAGCAUCUUCAGAGUGUUAUAUUUAUGCUUCAGAAGGGAAUAAAGCUUGGGGUGAGUGGCUUCUUUGGUCUAAGUACUGUUAGGCCAUGCACUGGAAAAGAAAUAAGCAGAGCCUGGAGAUGAGACUUAUAUCCCAAUGCUUUUCAGAGAGUAAUUUCCUGUUGAAAUGAGAAGGGAACUUCCUUGGAAUGUAAGUUUUGUAUAUGGGUUUUUAUAUCGCCUACCAAAAACACCUGGUGCUUUCCACUAAGGGUGUGUAGGCUGGAUAUUAGGUGGGAUGAUUCACUUGCUGAUUUCUGGUAGGGGCACUCUUUGUAACAGAAAAUCAAUUGAUAACUUCCUAUCAUUAACUAAAUUAAUCUUUCUUUUCUUCCCCUUUCUUCUUGUCUCACCAUGAAAGGAAGAUUCUCUGUUAAAAGGAAUGUGGCAAAUUAUUAGAGCUGUCUGUAUAAAGGAUGUAAAGCUAUCUGUGGUGGACAAAGAUGACUUCUUAGCUAAUAAAUUAAAGAAGGAGCUUCAAAAAGGAUUGCACUGUCACUGUAACUUCAAAUAAUGUCUUCCAAUAUAAUUAACUAUUGAUUAUUUUUUACUCUUAAUGUAUAAUUAUUUCUUAAAUUUUCCUAUCUACAUUGAUAGAAAUGUAUAAACUAAUUAUUUUGUCUCCUGAGGUACUAUCAAAGGGAAGGUAUUUCUCCAUAUUUUAACUCAGGGUCAGCUGGGGAUAAUUAGGCACCCACUGCUCUGGAAGUAUAGAAGGUUAUGCAUGUUCCCCAUCUACCAAAAGUCUUUUGCACCGAAAUAUAAAAAAAAAAAUUCUGAACUUAAACCAGACAGAGUGACUUAGCUUAGAAUACUGUAGUUUGGGUCAUUAAACUAUGGCACCUGUCAUUUGAAAAGCAGCUACAAACACUACCCUGGAACCCAGCUGACCACAUUCAGUUGCCAUGGCCUAGGUUUAUCAGCUGCAAACAGUAAAAA